UGUUAUGUUAUGUAACCAAUCAAUCUUUCUAUAUGUAUGCUUCUCUAUUUGAAAAUAAUUUCUCUAUAAAUUAGGUGCAAAUAUUCUUUUUCACUCUUUGUGGUCAUCUUAAAAUUUUUCUUUAUAGGAUUCAGUUAGGGACCACCACCAACAGAAUUCAGGUACAUAUUUAAAUUUUGUGAAUUUUUUAUUGAUUUUAUUUUAUGUUGAAAAUUCUUAAUAUUUUUUUGACGUAUUUUUAUUGGGUUUUGUUGGUUUAUAGAAAUAUAAAGUAGACGAAUUGGUAGAUAAGAGUGAAGGAUAAAAAAUGGAAGAAUAGUAACGUUUUGUAAUACCAUUUUUUGUUUUAAUUCUAAAAUUUAAAUCUUUAAUAUUUUUUUCUUUGUUCAGUCCAAAUGGAUUUCUUCAGCAAACGACAAUUGGCAUGGGAGGAUGCAUUUCGAAGUCUUUACUACAUGCUUCGGAAGAGUGUGUGUGAGAUUUUUUAUGUGUGCACUGCACAGUUUGUGGUGAUGUUCAUUGGUGAUGAUGGUUCGAAGGAAUACAAGAAGUUUAAGGUCAUUGUUAAGAGAGCAUGUAAGAUUUUAUAUCCUUAUCUAUCGUACCUCACCUAUCCCAUUUUUAAAUUUCAAAACACACCCAUCCACUCCCUACAAAAAAGAGACCCACGCUUAUAUCCUUAUCUAUCGCACCUCACCUAUCCACUUUUUAAAUUUCAAAACACAUCCAUCCACUCCCUACAAAAAAGAGACCCACGCUUAUCGAACUCUCUCUAUAAACUCUCCUCUUUUUUUCUUUCAGUCUCACUCCAAAUUUUCAAUUUUCAAAACACCCACCCUCAGCCAUGGUGAUGCUCAUCACCUCAUCCAGUCAUCACCUGUGCCACUUUCUCCAGUCAUCUCCACGCCAGUUCUACCCACAAGCAGGAUGGAUAGAGCACGAUCCGAUGGAGAUUAUGGAGAGUGUGAAGAUUUGUAUGAGCAAGGCAAUUGACAAAGCCACUGUAGAUGGGCACAAUGUUGACAGUGGACUUAAGGCAAUCGGACUCACCGAUCAGAGAGAAACAACGGUCGUUUGGAGCAAAUCUAUUGGCCUCCAUCUCUAUAACACCAUUGUUUGGAUGGAUGUUUGUACCAAUUCCUUAUUCAUUCAUUGAUUCAUCCUGUUUCUUUUUUCUUUUUUUUCCUUUUAAUUAUUAUUAUUAUUUUAUCAUUUUGUUCGUGCAAAUUGAAGAUCUAGAAUUGUGUUUGUAUUCUUAUCAAUACCCAUUUCUUGAGUUGUCUGA